GGGNGAAAGACUAAUCGAACCAUNUAGUAGCUGGUUCCUGCCGAAGUUUCCCUCAGGAUAGCAGUAACGCGAUUUCAGUUUUAUGAGGUAAAGCGAAUGAUUNGAGGCCUUGGGGUUGAAACAACCUUAACCUAUUCUCAAACUUUAAAUAUGUAANAAGCCCUUGUUGCUUAAUUGAACGUGGGCAUUAGAAUGAUGCGUUANUAGUGGGCCAUUUUUGGUAAGCAGAACUGGCGAUGCGGGAUGAACCGAACGNGAGGUUAAGGUGCCGGAAUACACGCUCAUCAGACACCACAAAAGGUGUUAGUUCAUCUAGACAGCGGAACGGUGGCCAUGGAAGUCGGAAUCCGCUAAGGAGUGUGUAACAACUCACGGGCCGAAUGAACUANCCCUNAUGGUGAGUGGCGCUCAAGCGUGUUACCCAUACCUCGCUGUCGCUUUGGUUACGAUGCCCCGACGAGUAGGCAGGCGUGGGGGUCCGUGACGAAGCCUU
rnacentral:rRNA from 1 species